GGUUGUAUGGUGUAAUGGUUAGCACUCUGGACUCUGAAUCCAGCGAUCCGAGUUCAAAUCUUGGUAGGACCU
rnacentral:tRNA from 1 species